GAGUUUGGUGGAGAUGUACAGAUCGACCUGUUCGUGAAAGAAGCAGUCGAAGGAACGUUUGGCUACUAUCAGUGUAGGAGGCAAAGACUAUGAAGCAGAAGAAUCCGUCAUCCAUCCUGCUAACAAGUACAUGAAAACCUUUGUCAAGGAACUUGGACUCUCUUCUACACAAGCCCAGAAAUGCCUGGCAGGCAUUUACAAACAGAGAGAAAUCUGUAUUUGAGAAGAGUAGCAGGUUCUGCCGAGGGGCCUCUGCGGGAGUGGCGGGCUUCUCCUGCCGGAGAGUCCAGCUGGCCCGCUGCCCAGCCAGCCAGCCAGGGUCCUGGCCCGGGUUGACCUGGUACCCGACCUCCACCCCAGAAGUCCGAAUGGGGUCAUGCCAAACCGCGUUGCCCAACCCUUCGAUCCAGGACGGUGGACACUUUCGGUGGUUGCCCCCGGUGCCGGGGCCGGAUGGCACAUCUACAAAACUGCCAGGAAACGUCCGCGGAGACGUUCAGGGUCGCGUUUUUCAGGACCCUAAACACCCAUCUUUGGUUCCAGAAGGGCGGCGAGAGAAACCUCCGGGGCAGAACCGUGCUGCAGCCGGAGGGCAACCCCAAGUUGCGCGCCCCACUGCCAUGUCAACCGAGCGCUGAGGCAGGGGCCCGAUCCGGCGGGACAGGCCGGGCAAGAGUUCCAGGAGCCCAGCCACCAUUCUGGCUUCACCCUGGUGACCUCCCUGGAGGUUGGGCAGGCCUGGGGCAGCUCCAAGGGUACCGGCAGGUCUGCGGGGCCCCGGGGUCGGAGCCCAGCAACCCCAGGGUGGGGCAGCAGGAGCCCGUGCAGCCCUCCACAGUGCCACGUCGACCCGGAGGUCCAGAGCGGGACCAUUCCAGGUUACAAAGUGGUGCUGAGUGUGUGUGUGGAGGGGUCGGGGGGAAGCAGCCCCUCCCCGCCCCAUGGCCAGUGCUCCCUGCUGCAGCCACUCGCAGCCUGCCUGGGGCUGCCUGUGCCUGCUCUGGACAGCCCCGCGUGGGCUGCGAGCGCUAGCCAUGGGGCAGGCGAGGGGCUGCUUUUCUCUGCGCAGGGAAGUAGCCUGGGGAAAAGCUGGGGGGGCAGCCCUCCCCUGUCCCAGGCCUGGUGCCCCACGCUGCAGGCACUCACAGCCCACAUGGGGCUGUCCAGAGCAGGCACAAGCAGCCCCAUGCGGGCUGCAACCAGCUGCAGCACAGGGCACCAGACAUGGGUUGGGAGGGGCCGCUUCCCCCCCCAACACACCCCCUUUCCUUUCCCAGGGUCCACCCACUUACCUGAGCUUCCCGCGCAGGGGGCAGCCACGUGCUCCCAGCCCAGACCAGACCAGACACCCGGGCUGGAGUUUCUGGCUGGGGAGCAGGGCCAGGUGCCCCACUGUUGUUGGAGCCCGCUGGGCUUCUCCCGAGUCCUACUGCCCUUGGUUCCUGUCAUUUUUGACAGAAACCAAGGGCACAGAAAUAUUAAUUUUCCAAAUUUUUUUAGGGGCCCAGCGGGCCGGAUAGAAUAGCCUCGUGGGCCAUAUUUUGCCCACCCCUGACUUAGAUACAUACUAGAAGAGAAACUAGAAGAUAAAAGAAACCAUUUUUGCUUUGGAAUUGUAAACAUCUGCGUCUUAUCAAGCCCUAUACAACACUAGAAACAUUCCCUUCCAUCCCAAGUAGCACAUCUCUGCACAAAUAGUUUAACCUCUAAUUCUUUGUUCUAAUUCUCUGUUCAAGAUAGCUAGCUAUCACUCUGUAAGAUUCAUAGGAUAUGCACAUUCUUCAUGUCAUUUUAACCCAGUUCAGUACAGUCUGACUACAGAAACUGGUUACAAUGCUACCAACUUAAAAAGACAUGUAAGAAGAUGAGGAAUCUGCAAUCACCACCAAGGUUUACUACAGCUUAAGAAAACCGAUAUAGAUCAGUGGUAUUUAACAACACAAGGAAGACAUUUCAGCUAAGAAAUACUUGGAGGUGGGUAUUUCUGCAGAAACUUGGCUGAAAGUUAGCUCUUCUAGAAAAUGAACAGCAGCAGCAGCAGCACUCACCAUAGAGGGAAGUGUCUAAUCACUACAAUUUAGCUGGUUCAGGUGAAUCUCACCAAGACACCACUAGGCCUGCGGAAAGAUGCACUUUAAACUGCAUUUGUAAACAACAAUCACACAACAUCAACUGAAAACUACAAAUGUAAAAGAGCAAAAGUGUAUAAAAGUAGAUAAGGAAACUACAACUUUUGUCCACUGUAAAUUGUAGCUUGUAGUUAGCCAUAGCAAUUCUGUCCAUUCUUCAAAGACACUGCAAAAUAACCAGA